rnacentral:lncRNA from 1 species
CUGCAUGGGCACCUCAUCCACAUCCAGGAACACUGUAAGGGGCACUGAAACCACACAGGUUCACUGCAUCCACCUUCAGGGGCACUGCAUCCUCCGUCACAACAUACUGGAUAAACAUUUAGGUACAAUGCAUUCACUGCAUGGGCACUGCAUUCACAUGCAGUGACACAGAAGCCAGCACUUCAACCCCUGAAUGGACACGGCUUCCAGCUGAUGUGGAAAUGCAGUUGCACUGCAAUCAAUGGAGGAUCACUGCAUCCACUGCAUGUUCAGAACAGACACAUUUAGGGACACAACAGGGUGCACGGCAACCACUGUCGGAUCACUGCAUCCACCAUCAUGGGCACUGAAUCCUCUGUCACAAGAUACCACAUCCAUCACAGCCUACUGCAUCCACCUUGUGCGACACUGCAUCCACUGAAUGGGCAAUGCAUUCAUAUUCAGAGACACAGAAGGUGCCACUGCAACCACUGCCCCCACAGUGCAGCUAGCUGAAGUGGCACUGCAGGUGCACAGCAAUCACUGCAGAAUCACUGCAUCCUCCAUCAUGGGCAAUGCGUCAUCCAUCAUAAAAUACUGCAUCCACCUUGUGGGGCACUGAAUCCACUGCAAGGGCAUGGCAUUCUCAUUCAGGGACCCUGCAGGGGGCACUGCAACCACUGCAGGAUUACUGCAUCCACCUUCAUGGCCACUGCAUCCUCCAUCACAACAUACUGCAUCUACCUUCAGUGACACUGCAGCCAUUGCAUGGGCACUGCAGCCACGAACAGGGACAGUGCUAGAGGCACAGAAACACCUGCAGGGACUCUGGAUCCAGCUGAAGUGGCACUGCAGGCACACUGCAACCACUGAAGGCUCACAGUAUAUGCCUUCAUGGGCACUGCAUCCUCCAUGACAUCAUACAUCAUCACUGCAUGAGCACUGAAUCCACAUUCAGGGACUCUGGAUCCUGAUUAAUUCACACUGCAGAUGCACUGCAAUGAAUGCAGGAUCACUGCAUCAUCCUUCAUGGGUAAUGCAUCCUACUUCACAAUAUACUGCAUCCACAUUGCGUCACACUGCAGAGGCUGCAUGGGCCCUGAAUCCACAAUCAGAAACACUGCAGUGGUCUCUGCAACCACUGCAGCAACACUGCAUUCAGCUGAAGUGGCAAUGCAGGUGCACUGCAAUCACUGAAUGUUCACUGCAUCCACUCCUUGUUCAAUCCAUCCAAAUUCACAGACUCUGCAGUGUGCAUGGAAGCACUGCAGGAUCACUGCAUCCAGCUCCAUGGGCACUGCAUCCUCUGUCACAACAUACUUCAUCCACCUUGUGUGACACUGCAUCCACUGCAUGGGCACUGCAUCCACAUUCAGGAAACCUGAAGGGGGCACUGCAACAACUGCAGGUUCACCGCAUCCACAUUCAUGGUCACUGCAUCCUCCAACAAAACAUACUGCAUCUAACUUGUGACACACUGCAUCCACUGCUUGACCACUGCAUUCAAAUUCCAGUACAAUGCUGGGGGCAGUGCAGCCACUGCCUGGACACGGCAUUCACCUUCAUGGGCACUGCAUCCUCCAUCACAACAUACUGGAUAAACCUUUAGGUACACUACCUCCACUGCAUGGGCACUGCAUUCACAUUCAGGGACACAGAAGUUGACACUGCAACCCCUGCAGGGACACUGCUUCCAGCUGAUGUGGAAAUGCAGGCAGACUGCAAUCACUGGAGGAUCACUGCAUCCACUGGAUGUUCACAGUAUCCACAUUCAGGGACACAACAGGGUGCACUGCAACCACUGCCGGAUCACUGCAUCCAGCUUCUUGGGCACUGUAUCCUCCGUCACAACAUACUGCAUGCACCUUGUGGGACACUGCAUCCACUGCCUGGGCACUGCAACCACGAACUCUGACAAUGCAGUGCACACUGCAAACACUGCAGGGACACAGCAUCCAUCUUAAUUCGCACUUCAGGUGCACUGGAUUCAACACAGGCUCACUGCAUCCACCUUCCUGGGCACUGCAUCUUCAAUCACAAGAUACUGCAUCCAUCUUGUGGGACAUUGCAUCCACUGCAUGACUACUGCAUCCACAUUAGCGGACAAUGC